AGUUACUGCCACCCUCUCCCAGGUCUAGAGAGGGGUACCCACGGUGGAGGGAGGUGGGAGGCCGAGACGGCCCCGGGGGUCGGCGGAGACCCAGCGGGAGCAGGGGGAAAUCGGAAGAGCUGGGGGCAUGGAGCGGGCGAGUUUGGAGCGGAAUGAGCCGGGAGCCCUACGUUGUGGAAGGAAGACAACAGUAUAGGACCAUCAGCAGGACCGGACAGAGAGGGGCACACCAGGCUGGCCUUGAACUCAGAAAUCCGCCUGCCUCUGACUCCCGAGUGCUGAGAUUAAAGGUGUGCACCACCACACCCGACAAGGAAGCCUGUUUUAAGAAGUGAUUCCAUGGAGGAGUUCUGCGGCGGCUCAGGGCUUGACUAAACAGUGGACCUCAGGUAAGAUGCUGCCUUGAAAGACUGUCUAAGGCUUUUUUUUUUUUUUUUUUUUUUUUGAGACAGGGUUUCUCUGUGUAGCCCUGGCUGUCCUGGAACCCACUCUAAACCAGUCUGGCCUCAAACUCAGAAACCCACCUGCCUCUGCCUCCUAAAUGCUGGGAUUAAAGGGUGUGCCACCACUGCUCUGCUAGUCUAAGGCUUUCCAGAGAAGGAUCAUGUUCUUGCAGGGUCCCAUUUCUCUCAGUAGACAAGAGAGGCUAAACCAGGCUGCAGGUGACAGGAAGAAUUGAAUAAACUGAAAGCAAAGGGCAGCCUUCUAAUUACGCUUCGUGGCUAUGUGGACAACCUGGAGAAGUCUGGAAACGUGAGUGGUGCUAAUCCCCUUUGUAAUGAAAGGCCCGGGUAAAAACAGAUGGGGCAAGUAGGUGUAAUGGGUAUUUCAGGAGCUUGAAUCUGAUGUCACAGCUUGUCUGGAUGGGACGUGCAUCUACUUGCAGAGCUAUGUUCCCAUCUAGUGUAAUUGUGGGUGUUUUAAUUCAGGCGUCACCUCUAUUUUGUCCUCUCUCCACAGCUUUCCUCCUCCAUUUUACUACUUGAGGGAGCAGUGGGUGGGAUACUAGGCAAGUAGCUGCAAUGGCUGGUGCUUUAUGGUUCCCUGGCAUCCCCUGAAUCUGUUAACAUCCCAACCUUCUUGACAGCCAGCCCCACCCCAUCACAUUCUUACUCCUUCCCUUUCCAAGAAAGAAGCCAGAAGCCCGAAGCCAGCAGUAGAGCUCUGACUGGCUUGUAUGCCUAGAAAGGAAGGGCUCUUCUUUCGCCUCACGGGCACAAAUGGGACCCACGAGCGCCGAUUUCAGACUAUUCUGAUCCCUUCAAAAAGAAAGUUAGGAGUCCAGGCUACUGUGAGUGAAUUUGAUUCUAAUUGUUUCAGAGAAUAUGGAAUAAAAUAUCUCAUUUGCAGUUGUUUA
rnacentral:lncRNA from 1 species